GAUGAAGAACGUAGCGAAAUGCGAUAAGUAAUGUGAAUUGCAGAAUUCAGUGAAUCAUCGAAUCUUUGAACGCACAUUGCGCCCCUUGGUAUUCCGAGGGGCAUGCCUGUUCGAGCGUCAUUAUAACCCCUCAAGCUCAGCUUGGUGUUGGGGCCUGCUGCACUGGCAGCCCUUAAAAUCAGUGGCGGCGCCAUCUGGCUCUAAGCGUAGUAAUUUUUCUCGCUAUGGAGUCCUGGUGGAUGCUUGCCAUCAACCCCCAAUUUUUCUAUGGUUGACCUCGGAUCAGGUAGGGAUACCCGCUGAACUUAAGCAUAUCAAUAAGCGGAGGA
rnacentral:misc_RNA from 1 species